UGUAAUAUUGUAAUUAUAAGAAAAGAAAAAAAAAAAAGUUGAACUUUGAGUGUUCGAUUUAAAUAUUCGAAAAUUCAUUAUAAUUCAGUACAAUUCAAAUCGAGAACGAGAGAGAACGGAAAUGUUUAAACGAAAGAAUUAAGGAGAAAAUCAAAGAUCCGGGAAUAUGGUCUAUUUUAUUACGCGAUUAUUACAAAAGAUCGUUUGCUCGUUGAUAUUUUCGUCCUUCGAUUCGACUGCACUGCGUGACCUAUAAAUUUUCUCGACCUAUUUCGACCAUAAGCAUUUGACGGUCACCCCUUAGAUGGCACUGCGAGACACGGCCAUCGUUGUACGUAAACUUCGCGCCGAUUCAGGGAGGAUCAAGGACUGACCUAAAUCGGAAAGGCAGGUAUCAUCAUCUCUUUUCUCCUUCCAAAACAUAUUUGGUCGAACAAGGUCGUUUAAUGUUACUCAUAACACCGAAACUCAUAACAAUUAUUAUCUUUUUUCUAGAGUUGAGAAGAUCGUCAUUGGCACGUAGUAGUUCCGUAUUCUUUCGAUCCAUCGAACUGUUGUUGUCACUGCGCCAAAUAACUGUGCAAUAACUUUUUAGCUGACGAUCGUGUAUCCGUGCGGACGACGCGUAUCGCACGUGUCACAAGUCGAGAAGAGGAAACGCGUGGUAACAGGAGACGUGGUGUAAGUAACAUUUCGAAAUUUCUCGUUUGAUCGUAAACCUCGUUGACAAAUGAAAGAAAAAGCAACAACAACAAGUGUUGUUGUGCGUAAAUCGAAUAGAUACGUGAUCUUUUGAUAUAAAUACAUCGAUAACAAUAAGAAUAAUACGGAUCUUGAGUACGAUUUUAAAAAUUUCAAUCUUUGAAAAACGUUUCGUCAUUCCUAUUUCCUGAAAUUUCGUAUUAUUCAUAUACGUUUACGUAUACGAAUAGAAGUAACAUAGUUGUCUCCUAUCUUUAGAUGCCCGAAAUAAACUCUCUAUACAUUCGCUAUCUUGGUUGAUUCUCGACUCUUCAAGUUGAUUAGUCAUCGAGACUUCGCCCAGUUUUUUUCUUUCACUUUUUCUCCCUAGGCAACGUUGCGAAUUAUACUUUCACUUUGAAAAUGCUCCGUUAAUAAUAACUUCGUUAUCGCGAUCAACAAUAACGGCGAUAUUAAGGCGGUUCUAAUCGAUGGAUAAAUUGAAAAACAAUUCGAGAAGAUUAAGCGAAAGGUAUAUACAUGAGUAUAUGCGAGAGAUUUAACGGUUUGGUGGUGAAACGAGAAUUGCAUAUUGAUUCGGAUAGUAACAGUUUCACAGAGAAGGCAUAUACAUUACGGUCAAGUAUCGGGCUCGUACGAUGCCCAUCUCUCGCCGUGGCGAGGUGAAAGGAUUAAAUGGGCCAAAAUCAGAAGGAAGGAAGGGAUCCUCGAUUGUAGAAAAUGACACGGGCAACGCACAGAUACACGUACACCGAGAAGACCCAUUUAUCGGCGUUCGCCGUGGAUGACCUGUUUGCGCGACACGCCGCUUUUCCCUGGAGAGAAAAAUCCGGCCCGUUCAUCUGAGGCGGAAUGGGACUGGGUGAAAGUCGUUCAGGUGAUUCGAGGGAUGCCGGCCAAAGAUAGACGCGAGACAAUGCUCGAUGGCGUUUUAUGUAACAUGGCAACACACGCUACUCCUCGACUUCAUUGGGUCGAUCGUAAAACCCCUGAGAAAGAAAUACGGUUUGUGAUAAACCGUAAGUUAUAAUUUCCGUUCGGAAAAUAAUAAUGAUAAUGUGGAAAGCGUGCGUAAUUACGAUUAGAAUUUAACUCGUUGAACGAUGAAAUAUAUUAAACUUCAUUGAUUAAGAGGAGUUGCAAGAAAUUUAAAAUUGCGUUUGAGGUUGAAACAGUCUUGCAAUCGUAAAAUGUCGAGUCAGAAGACAAUUGUCGAUUUAAAUGAUCGGCAAGAUUUUUGUAGUAGACAGCGAGAAAUGUCGAUUAACAAUACUAUGUGUGUCGCAUUAUCGCGAUAACCACCUAGCAACAAAGAACACCGUAUUACCAUGAUAAUAAUAUGUGACGACACUGUUUACAAUCGAGUCGCAUUACGAUUACAAAGCGUGAGUUAGAAUCUCGUGGAACAGGAUUCGAGACACCCACGUAGAUGCUGAUCACGUGUACGGAACGAUACGAUUCGCAAAUAACGGUGUUGUGCUCGUUGCGACCAGUUAUAUUGCUGUGGGAAGAUAGGUAACGUACGCGUUACGUGAAUAAGUGUUCGUAAAUUCAUAACGAAGCAGAGAGUGGUUUAGAAAGCGGACACGGAUUGUACAAAAAACCAUAUAACUGUACGAUUGCUCAAUGUUGGUUGAAAGUCGCUGCUUGACUUAUACGUGAAAACAUUCAUCGCAACGAGCUAGGAAAGACGAACAAAUUUACGGUAAUAACCAUUGCAAUGCCCGUUAUUAGAGAAAUCAAAGGAUUAAUCGCGACGAACUCAUCAUCCGCGUUGCUGCUUUUUUGGUCAAGGUAAUCGUAAUGCUUCGCGUGUUACCAUGUAAAUUUAAUACUACUAAUGAAUGGUUAAGUUUAUGCUAUUGUUAAGAUUGGCGGGAAAGAAAUUAUGGUAAAAAUAACAUUCUUAAGAAAAUAAAAAUCAUUAAAAGAAAAGAAAUAAUAAUAACGAAAUAGUUAUAAAUUUAACAAAACAAAGUAUAUAUAAUUGCAAAUUUUUAAUCGUGUUUAAUAAUUGGAAUAAAAUAAGCUUCUUUGAUGAAAAAAAAAAUUUGAACCUCUUGAACGCAAAAGCAAAAACAUAACCAACAAAACGAAAAGUAUGUAUCCUAUUGUAAUGUUUACAUAGAAAAAAGAUAAAAAUAAAAGAAUUUUUUAACUUGGUC